AUCGCGUGAUGAGGGCACUUUCUUAACAACUCUUUAAAUCUUUCCCAUGCAUCAUACAACGAUUCCCCUUCUAUCUAAAAUAAAUUAUUAAUUUCCCCUCUCAAUUU